rnacentral:tmRNA from 2 species
GUUGGUUUUCCAACUAUAACGAUAAACGAAAUUCGUAAUAAACAUUUUGGACCAGGGGGCGGUACCCUGCACCUCCACCA